rnacentral:rRNA from 1 species
GACGAACGCUGGCGGCGUGCUUAACACAUGCAAGUCGAACGGUAAGGCCCCUUUGGGGGUACACGAGUGGCGAACGGGUGAGUAACACGUGAGCAACCUGCCCUUGACUCCGGAAUAACAGCUGGAAACAGCUGCUAAUACCAGAUACGACUCAGUGCGACAUCGCAUCGAGUGGAAAGCCCUGGCGGUCAAGGAUGGGCUCGCGGCCUAUCAGCUUGUUGGUGAGGAACGGCUCACCAAGGCUUCGACGGGUAGCCGGCCUGAGAGGGCGACCGGCCACACUGGGACUGAGAUACGGCCCAGACUCCUACGGGAGGCAGCAGUGGGGAAUAUUGCACAAUGGGCGAAAGCCUGAUGCAGCAACGCCGCGUGCGGGAUGACGGCCU